AUCCCUAUAGGGCAAUGGAUAGCGCAUUGGACAUCUAAUCCAAAGGUCGUGUGUUCAAAUCCCAUCUGGGAUG